rnacentral:rRNA from 1 species
GGGUUCCUUUGCAACUCUAGAGAUAGAGCCUUCCCCUUCGGGGGACAAAGUGACAGGUGGUGCAUGGUUGUCGUCAGCUCGUGUCGUGAGAUGUUGGGUUAAGUCCCGCAACGAGCGCAACCCUUAAGCUUAGUUGCCAUCAUUAAGUUGGGCACUCUAGGUUGACUGCCGGUGACAAACCGGAGGAAGGUGGGGAUGACGUCAAAUCAUCAUGCCCCUUAUGAUUUGGGCUACACACGUGCUACAAUGGACAAUACAAAGGGCAGCUAAACCGCGAGGUCAUGCAAAUCCCAUAAAGUUGUUCUCAGUUCGGAUUGUAGUCUGCAACUCGACUACAUGAAGCUGGAAUCGCUAGUAAUCGUAGAUCAGCAUGCUACGGUGAAUACGUUCCCGGGUCUUGUACACACCGAUA